UGGGGAAUCUUGGACAAUGGGCGAAAGCCUGAUCCAGCCAUGCCGCGUGAGUGACGAAGGCCUUAGGGUUGUAAAACUCUUUCGUCGGGGACGAUAAUGACGGUACCCGCAGAAUAAGCUCCGGCUAACUUCGUGCCAGCAGCCGCGGUAAUACGAAGGGAGCUAGCGUUGUUCGGAAUCACUGGGCGUAAAGCGCACGUAGGCGGAUGUGUCAGUCAGGGGUGAAAUCCCGGAGCUCAACUUCGGAACUGCCCUUGAUACAGCACGCCUUGAGUCCGAUAGAGGUGGGUGGAAUUCCUAGUGUAGAGGUGAAAUUCGUAGAUAUUAGGAAGAACACCAGUGGCGAAGGCGGCUCACUGGCCCGAUACUGACGCUCAGGCACGAAAGCAUGGGGAGCAAAAGGGAUUAGAUACCCCAGUAGUCCCUGAGCGGGCUGGCAAGGCGCAU
rnacentral:rRNA from 1 species